UUACGAUAUGAUAGCACGUUGAAGACACUAGUUCCCCAUAGAUCACUGAAGUUAAGCAAUUUUGCGAGUGGUUGGUAUCCAGAUUCGUGACCAUCUGGGCAAUCACAUUCGAUAA
rnacentral:rRNA from 1 species